rnacentral:pre_miRNA from 11 species
CUUCUGAGACAAGGGUGGUCACAAAGCCCGGGAAAGAGCCCCUAAAUGAAAGACCCCCAGAGAGGAGAGACCCUCCCUCAAGUCUCAGGAUGACACAAACCCCAAGAACUCAUGAGAGACC